CAAGUUUAGCAGGUAAAACUUGAGUCAUCUGUUAGCAACUCAACUCAGAAUGUUAAAUUAGACAAAUGUUUGGUCAGCUAUCAUGUCAUAAAUCUAGGUUUUCUUGACCAGGUAGCCAUACAUCAAAAAUUACUGUAGUAAAUCUAACUUGGAAGUGAAAUCCUGCAGUUUGUAAACUGUAAUUUCUAAAUGGACUUUUCUGUAUUGAUAGAAAGCCAUUUUUCUGAGCACAGGAACCUGAAAUAAAAAUGAAGGCCUAUCGGUUGAACCUGAGAAGUCACAAGUGACACUGUGGGCUUCCCUGAAUGUGUGGAAUGCCAUCAGCAGCUGUCCACACACUCUUAAUGCCUGCUUGAGAUGGCCAUGAUGCCCAUUUCUGCACAUGGUCUCCUUUUUCCUAUACCAUACUCUGUAGCCAGGUAGUAGUAGAACACCAGGGUCACAACAACCAGUGAGUGGUGGACCAAAGCCAAUUUUACUCUAAAGAUUCAGUUUUCAUUUUUUCAUCUACUCCAUGUUUAAAUGAGGACUCGUUUUCUCUCAGUGCUCCGCUUAGCUUAGGGAUGACUUUGAACUGAGAAUUUAUGUAAAAUGAGACACUGAUGGUGACUUAACUGUCAUCAGGGGAGCAUGGUAAAGAAUGUUUGUCAAGUCCUUCUAUUCAGCAGUGACAGGAAUGUGGGGAAAUGAUGUCUGGUAGUUUGUGCAGUUCUGCUGCUAGGAAAUUUCCUGGAGAAGGGGCACAGUACACAGUACACACAUCAGGAGGACUGAUGGAGUUGGCCUUUCCCACAGGGAGCAUUGUUGUGGAAGGCCACGAACUGCAUGAAGAAGACAUCCACCUUAUGUACACCUUUGACCAGACCACAGGUGGGACCGCACAGUUUGAAGCACAUUCGCAUGCUCAGCAUGGGCAGAAGAGCACUAUCGGUGCAGUUGGUUGUCCACUCCUGGUCCUGCUUGUGCAUAUGUCAAUCUUCACAUCUGUGCAAAUGGUAGGGAACAAGGUAAGAGUAAAGAAAUUCCAUAGCUUGUGUGGCAUGUUUUACACUUCUGGAAGUCUUUCCUUUUACAAAGUAUGAUAAAACUGGAUGACUUUUUUUUAAUUGUCAUCAAAAUGAACCCAUUAAAGUAAAUAAGGGAUGUGCACUUGGGGGAAGAUGGAGUAGACAUGCUUCCUUUUUCUCCACUGAGUAUAUCUCAGUACCCUGUAUAAAUACAAAAAACAAACAAGAAAACUCUGGAAGGUGGAAGGAGAAGAACAGACCAGCUGGGAACCUUGAAACCAAGUUACUUAAUGAUAGUGAGUUCCCUGGACUUUAUUUUUAUGUGUUAUUUGUCCCAAACCUGGAACGUAAGCUACCAAUCUAGAAAUGCCAACAACUACCGAUCAAAUAAAAGCCCCAACAAAAUCCUGCUUUCACUAGACAAAGAAUCAGAAUAUGGACAACCUAGCAAGACAAAUACCUUUUUUUUUUCCCAGUGCUGGUAAUUGAACCCAUGGCCUUGCAUAUGCUAGGCAGGUGCUCUACCACUGAGCUAUGCACAUCUCCAUCUCCAAAAGAGAAAGUAUUAGACGAUAAUUGGUCUACUGUAGACCUACACCAUAGAAAAAGCUGUGGCCCCACCACCACUCACGUGAGCAAAGGCCACACAGAAAGCCCCAGUUCAGCUUUUGCCUGGCUUAGACUCCUCAGGCUCCACCACCGCCAUGAUGAUAUCAGAGGAGAUUGAGUAGGAAGCUAGGAGUUUCAUCCAAAUGGUAAUGAGUCCUUCUCCCUAGUGGUGGCAACAUGGACAGCUUGUACAUCCAUUCCCAUUGGGCAGUAAUAAAGCAUCCUCCCCCUCACGACUACACGGCAGCAGUGAGGCCACAUAGCACUGAGGUGUCAGUGAGGCCCAGAUGGGGAACAGUAAAGAGGCACUACUUUUCCUGGCCAGGGAGCUAUUGGUGGAGGCCUAGAAGAAAGUGAGAAUGCUCUGCCCUGCCACCCACACCAGGACCAAGAAGUCUGGACCUUGUUUUAAAUGCAGGCCAAUAGUGAAUCUGGACUUCCCACCUGAAAGUAACUAGGCAGUAGCUCCCUUUCCUCCACUAAUGUGAAAAGGGAUAAUCAGUAGAUGCAAAUAUGAUGACAGAAAUAUUAAAAUUAUCUGACAGAAUUUACAGCAAGCAUGGUACAUGUUUCGGGAAUCAGUAAUAAAACAAAUGAAAAAUGCAAAGCCUCAGAAAAGAAAUAGAAGCUAUAAGGAAGAAUCAGACAUUUUGUAACUAAGGGCUGGGGAUGCCUGGCAAGCGCGAGGUCCUGAGUUCGAUCCCCAGUAUUAAAAACAAAAAAAGUAACUAAAAUUUUGAAAGCUCAGUGGAUGGGCUGAGCAGCAUAAGAGAAGAGAAACGAAAGAACGAGAGCCAGAAGAUAGAAAUUACCCAUUCUGAACAACAGAGAGUUGGAAAUAGGAAUAGCAAGGGCCUAUAGAUCAAAGAACAAAAAGUUAACAUUCUUGCCACUCAAAUAAUGCCAAAAACCUUCCAAAGUCACCAAACCAUAUAACCCUACAGAUUCAGUAAACUGAGUGCUAUGGCCUGAAUGUUUGUUCUCCUGUCUUCACUCCAAAGUCAUAGGACAAAAUUUUUUGAAACCUUUUUUUUUUUGGUACCAGAGAUUGAACUCGGGCCCUUGCGCUUGCUUGCGCAGCAGGCAGCGAAACCACUGAGCUAAAUCCCCAGCCCUAUAUAUUUUUUUAAACUUUUUAAAAAA
rnacentral:lncRNA from 1 species